CUGCACUGUUCGUAACCUGUUUUCAGCCUUCCGUCUGAUUCUGGGUUCCAUUCCAGUGCCACAGGAAACCCCCGAGAGGCAGGGAAGCUGGUGCGUCUUGUGCUUGCCGACCUGUUCACCCUCUGGGAACAUGC